GUUUUGUGAUGAUUCCCAUGCGUGUCAUAUGAUCCUUGACCCCCUGCUGUACUCUGUGUCUGUUAAGCGUUUUGCUCUGCAGUACAUCGGAGUCUGUAGACUCAAGGAAUAUGAUCAUGACUGUCAAGUCUGAAAAC